rnacentral:rRNA from 1 species
GACGAACGCUGGCGGCGUGCUUAACACAUGCAAGUCGAACGGAAAGGCCCUGCUUGCAGGGUACUCGAGUGGCGAACGGGUGAGUAACACGUGGGUGAUCUGCCCUGCACUUCGGGAUAAGCUUGGGAAACUGGGUCUAAUACCGGAUAGGACCGCACUUUAGUGUGUGUGGUGGAAAGUUUUUUCGGUGUAGGAUGAGCUCGCGGCCUAUCAGCUUGUUGGUGGGGUGAUGGCCUACCAAGGCGGCGACGGGUAGCCGGCCUGAGAGGGUGUACGGCCACAUUGGGACUGAGAUACGGCCCAGACUCCUACGGGAGGCAGCAGUGGGGAAUAUUGCACAAUGGGCGCAAGCCUGAUGCAGCGACGCCGCGUGGGGGAUGAAGGCCUUCGGGUUGUAAACUCCUUUCGCUAGGGACGAAGCUUUUUGUGACGGUACCUAGAUAAGAAGCACCGGCUAACUACGUG